GGACAGGUGCCGAAAGGAACAUGUCCUGUUCUCCUGUGACCUCCCAGACAAAGGGGCAGGGUUUGGGAAGGGGCAGGGGAACUCAGCAACUGAAUGUCUGGCUGUGCAGGUGGUGCUGAAGGUUUGGGAUCUGAGGAUCUACCCUGGAGCAGCUGGAUCUGCUGGGAGUUGAUAGCAUCCACCUGACCUCAUACCACGGGCCAAACCAGGGGGCCCUGCCAGGUAUUCCAGAGGGGCUGUGGGAGCUCUGGCUGGGCAGGACCAAGCGAGAGGCACCUCAGCUUAGGAGACACUGACAUCCCAAUGCCCUCACAGUAACUGAUAGAGACAUCCUUCACAUCCUGGCAGAGGGAGCUCAAUGCUGUUUAUACUCUUACCCCUUUCACUGGGUUUGAUUAUGAGGAUUCGUGAUGGAAUUGUUGGAGAACGCCCCUGGCUGAGCUGAGUUUCCAGCAGCAGGUAGAGCUAAAACCCAGUGUUAAUAAAAAUCAAUGAAGCAUCCUCACAAGGCAAACAGUUUCCCUUUACAGCUCACAGCCUCCUCACGCU